UGGGGAUUCGUCUAACGGCAGGACACCGGACUCUGACUCCGUAUGUGGAGGUUCGAAUCCUCCAUCCCCAGCCA
rnacentral:tRNA from 4 species